rnacentral:snoRNA from 1 species
GGUGAAAAUGAUGAAUCCUGGGAUACUGAUUCAUGUGAUCUGAAAAAGCCAUCCAUUUCCUGAUUCACC